GCCUUGUUAGCUCAGUUGGUUUAGAGCGUUCGGCUUUUAACCAAAACGUCGUGGGUUCAACCCCACAUGGGGCG
rnacentral:tRNA from 1 species